rnacentral:rRNA from 1 species
GACGAACGCUGGCGGCGUGCUUAACACAUGCAAGUCGAACGGAAAGGCCCUGCUUUUGUGGGGUGCUCGAGUGGCGAACGGGUGAGUAACACGUGAGUAACCUGCCCUUGACUUUGGGAUAACUUCAGGAAACUGGGGCUAAUACCGGAUAGGAGCUCCUGCUGCAUGGUGGGGGUUGGAAAGUUUCGGCGGUUGGGGAUGGACUCGCGGCUUAUCAGCUUGUUGGUGGGGUAGUGGCUUACCAAGGCUUUGACGGGUAGCCGGCCUGAGAGGGUGACCGGGCACAUUGGGACUGAGAGACGGACCAGACUCCUACGGGAGGCAGCAGUGGGGAAUAUUGCAGAAUGGGCGGAAGCCUGAUGCAGCAACGCCGCGUGCGGGAUGACGGCCUUCGGGUUGUAAACCGAUUUCGACUGUGACGAAGCGUGAGUGACGGUAAUGGGUAAAGAAGCACCGGCUAACUACGUG